UAGGGAAUCUUCCGCAAUGGACGAAAGUCUGACGGAGCAACGCCGCGUGAGUGAAGAAGGAUUUCGGUUCGUAAAACUCUGUUGUUAGGGAAGAAAAAAUGUAUAGUAACUAUAUACAAAAGAGACGGUACCUAACCAGAAAGCCACGGCUAACUACGUGCCAGCAGCCGCGGUAAUACGUAGGUGGCAAGCGUUGUCCGGAAUUAUUGGGCGUAAAGCGCGCGCAGGUGGUUUAGAAAGUCUGAUGUGAAAGCCCACGGCUCAACCGUGGAGGGUCAGUGGAAACUAAUAAACUUGAGUGCAGGAGAGAAAAGUGGAAUUCCUAGUGUAGCGGUGAAAUGCGUAGAGAUUAGGAAGAACACCGGUGGCGAAAGCGGCUUUUUGGCCUGCAACUGACACUGAGGCGCGAAAGCGUGGGGAGCAAACAGG
rnacentral:rRNA from 1 species